rnacentral:lncRNA from 1 species
CUCGCUGCCUUUCAGGAGCUGCAUUUGGGCCCACAAUUCACCCCGGAGCAGAGGCCCUGGUGACUUUACUGCGUGCAAAUAGAAUGCAAAUGAGGAAAGGGUCUCCUUUAGGGCAUUUUCACCACGAUCUGCACAGUUUUGCCGGGCAAUCCCCUGUCCUCUCGUCCGGCUGCCGUCCGGCUGCCGUCGGGGUGCUCUUGACACAGAUCCUGUCCACUGUGGAGCUUGGAGGAUGGAUCAGAACCCUUGGGGACCUGCCAUUCACCUCUUCCAGCUAUAAGGAGCCCGUGGGGAAACUGAGACCCCGGGAGAAGGGGGAAGGAAAGAGGAAAUGAGGAUGCAGUGAGACUAUAACCGCACUUCCUGUGGUUAACGUCUCUGGAAACUUACUUCUUGAAAUGUUCAAGGGCUUGUACACAAAGCCUCUCACACACUCAGCUCCCUCCUAUAACCAGAGUACAGCGCAUCCCACAAGAACAGGGGCUCAGAGUAGAAUUCCUCAUUUUGGGUCGGAGGCUUCAUUGUAUGAGGUGGGUGCUGCAGAACUUCCUGCUCUUGAUGUUUUCUGAGACCACUGGCCACUCUGUGCCCCUGGAGCUCCCAGCCCUGGCCAAAGCAGGGGCAUAAGAUGCAGCAGGGGCCUGUGCACCACAGCGCUCCAUGGGUGCUUGCUGCUGAUGACGGCCAAGCGUACCAGCCCUGGGAAACCCACACAGAGACAGGGAAGUGAAGAGGCGUCACACUCAUGGAGACUCCCAUGUGGCCCCAGCAUGGCCCUGCAACCCCGGAGAUGGGCAGAAGCCUCAGCCAGGCCUGCA